rnacentral:lncRNA from 1 species
CACAAAAUAAACCAAUCAUAUACACCGUUAACUCGAACCACUUUCUAAGGGUACACCAUCAUAUACUGUCAGUUAUUGCUAAGCUAAAACGUGUAACUGUGGACUGUUAGUAUGCCAAGCUUCUUACAGUCACCAUCAUAUACAGCUAGGCACACAAAGCUUAAACAACUAAAAGGAAACUGAUAAUCCCAUCACCAAAUUUUGAAAUAUUUCAAUCUGAAAAUUAAAGCAAGUCAUC